rnacentral:tRNA from 1 species
GCUAAAUUAGUUUAUGUAAAAUACCAGCUUGUGGAUCUGGAGAUAAAAAAAUUUUUAUUUAGCC